GCAAGUCGAGGGGUAACAUAGAGAAGCUUGCUUUUCUGAUGACGACCGGCGCACGGGUGCGUAACGCGUAUGCAACCUACCUUAUACUGAGGGAUAGCCCGAAGAAAUUCGGAUUAAUACCUCAUAGUAAUUAUUAACCGCAUGGUUUUGUAAUUUAAAGAUUACGGUAUAAGAUGGGCAUGCGUCCCAUUAGCUAGAUGGUAAGGUAACGGCUUACCAUGGCAACGAUGGGUAGGGGGCCUGAGAGGGUGAUC
rnacentral:rRNA from 1 species